AAGCGAAACUUUGUACCCGACUGGCUAUCAUAAAAAUGGUUCCAUCCAAAGCGAAACUUUGUAGCUACCUGAUGAGUCUCUUCAUUCUAAUGUUGUUGUUCUCAUCCAAAGCAGCGUUUGCCAGAGUUUCCCACUUUUCAGAAACCAAACAGAACAAAGGUAGAGAGCUUCUGAAAAUGAAUAAUAUUCACCUGGCAAAGAAAAUCAACGCAAAUGACCCAAUUGGCUCGGGUCCAUCGAUUCCGUGAACGGGAUAAAUUAAAAAUCAUACCUAUAUAUUUGAAACAUCUACUGGCCGGCCCGGACUGAGCUAGCGGUAAUAAAGCCGAUGGGCGGUGGUCAGCUGACCCUUCUCAUAUUUGGCAUAUAUAAUAUUUGAUUGUAUGUUUGAAUUUUAUAUGAAUGUAAGGAUUUACAUAAAGGAUGAUGGAUUCACUGCACAUGAUAUGAAGACGGUAACUGAUGACCUCAUCAUUUCCAGUGAA